rnacentral:pre_miRNA from 1 species
CCUCUUUUGGAUUCUUAAGACCACCCUUGUAGUAGGAUACCGUCUGCUUUGGGUUCUUUAUUAUAUUAUCUCCUUCGAGGGAUUUUUAGGAUCGUUUAGGCUAUAUUUAGUCUAUUUUGGCUAUGGAAUAUAUGACAAAGGUGGAGUCUUGGAG